rnacentral:rRNA from 1 species
CGCUUUUUGGAAAAUUAUAAAAAGUCAGUCCUGCCCAGUGCAUAUAAUUUUGUAAACGGCCGCAGUAUCCUGACUGUGCUAAGGUAGCAUAAUAACUUGUCUUUUAAUUGAAGAAUAGAAUGAAUGGAUAGACGUGAAAUUAUCUGUCUCUUUUUUAUUAUAUUAAAAUUAAUCUUUAAGUGAAAAAGCUUAAAUUCUUAGAAAAGACAAGAAGACCCUAUCAAUUUUAAAAUAUCCUUCUUAUUAAUAACGGAGUUUUUUUUGAUUGGGGCAAUCAAAAAGGAAAAGCAUCCUUUUUAUUUUUAUUUUUUGGAAAAAAAAUAUCCAAACAUUUUGAAUUAUGAGAUAAAUACUGUAGGGAUAACAGCAUAAUUUUAUUUUGAAGUCCUUAUUUGAAAUAAAGUUUAUGACCUCGAUGUUGGACUAAGGUAACUUUUAAGUGCAGGGGCUUAACUAGUUAGACUGUUCGUCUAUUAAAUCCUUACA